rnacentral:rRNA from 1 species
UACGGAGGGUGCGAGCGUUGUCCGGAAUCACUGGGCGUAAAGGGCGCGUAGGCGGCCUGGUAAGUAGGGGGUGAAAUCCUGCGGCUUAACCGCAGGGCUGCCUUCUAAACUGUCAGGCUCGAGCACGGUAGAGGCAGAUGGAAUUCCCGGUGUAGCGGUGGAAUGCGUAGAGAUCGGGAAGAACACCAGUGGCGAAGGCGACUCGCUGGACAAGUAUUGACGCUGAGGUGCGAAAGCGUGGGGAGCAAACAGG